rnacentral:rRNA from 1 species
UGGGGAAUAUUGGACAAUGGGCGCAAGCCUGAUCCAGCCAUGCCGCGUGUGUGAAGAAGGUCUUCGGAUUGUAAAGCACUUUAAGUUGGGAGGAAGGGCGCUUGGCUAAUACCCAAGGGUUUUGACGUUACCAACAGAAUAAGCACCGGCUAACUUCGUGCCAGCAGCCGCGGUAAUACGAAGGGUGCGAGCGUUAAUCGGAAUUACUGGGCGUAAAGCGCGCGUAGGCGGUUUGUUAAGUUGGAGGUGAAAUCCCCGGGCUCAACCUGGGAAGUGCCUCCAAAACUGGCUGACUAGAGUACGGUAGAGGGUGGUGGAAUUUCCUGUGUAGCGGUGAAAUGCGUAGAUAUAGGAAGGAACACCAGUGGCGAAGGCGACCACCUGGACUGAUACUGACGCUGAGGUGCGAAAGCGUGGGGAGCAAACAGG